GACGAACGCUGGCGGCGUGCCUAAUCCAUGCAAGUCGAACGCAGUGGGGACGGGUGAGGAACACGUGGGUAACCUCUCCAUCAGAGGGGAUAACACUUGGACACAGGUGCUAAACCGAUAUGGAUGGAUGUACCCUCGGUGCAUUAGCUAGUUGGUGAGGUAACGGCUCACCAAGGCCACGAUGCAUAGCCGGCCUUAGAGGGUGAUCGGCCACCCUGGGACUGAGACACGGCCCAGACUCCUACGGGAGGCAGCAGUGGGGAAUCGUCGGCAAUGGGCGAAAGUCUGACCGAGCAACGCCGCGUGAGUGAAGAAGGUUUUCGGAUCGUAAAACUCUGUUGUUAGAGAAGCGGUAUCUAACCAGAAAGCCACGGCUAACUACGUGCCAGCAGCCGCGGUAAUAC
rnacentral:rRNA from 1 species